AUUGAACGCUGGCGGCAGGCCUAACACAUGCAAGUCGAACGGUAGCACAGAGAGCUUGCUCUCGGGUGACGAGUGGCGGACGGGUGAGUAAUGUCUGGGAAACUGCCCGAUGGAGGGGGAUAACUACUGGAAACGGUAGCCAAUACCGCAUAACGCCGCAAGACCAAAGUGGGGGACCUUCGGGCCUCACACCACCGGAUGUGCCCAGAUGGGAUUAGCUAGUAGGUGGGGUAAUGGCUCACAUAGGCGACGCUCCCUAGCUGGUCUGAGAGGAUGCCCAGCCACACUGGAGCGAAUGGCAGCUCCAGUCUCCAAAGGGGGGCAGCAGUUGGUAGUAUUGGGUAGUAGGCCCGGUCCUGCUGCGGCAGUGCCGCGUGUAGGGAGGAGGCCUUCGGUGUGUAACGUCCGUGCGGCGGGGUGGAAAGCGGUGAAGUUCAUUUCUCCACCUAUUCAUGUUUGCCGCAGACGCAGCGCCGGCUUUGUCUGUGCGAGCCGAUCCAGUUC
rnacentral:rRNA from 1 species